GAUGAACGCUGGCGGUAUGCAUAACACAUGCAAGUCGAACGGAAUCUUCGGAUUUAGUGGCGGACGGGUGAGUAACACGUGAGAAUCUGCCAAGAGGUUUGGGACAACAGUUGGAAACGACUGCUAAUACCAAAUAUGCACAACUGUGAAAGGGGUUAACCCCGCCUCGUGAUGAGCUCGCGUCUGAUUAGCUAGUUGGUGUGAUAAGAGCGCACCAAGGCGACGAUCAGUAGCUGGUCUGAGAGGACAACCAGCCACACUGGGACUGAGACACGGCCCAGACUCCUACGGGAGGCAGCAGUGAGGAAUUUUCCGCAAUGGGCGAAAGCCUGACGGAGCAAUACCGCGUGAGGGAGGAAAGCCUUCGGGUUGUAAACCUCUUUUCUCAGGGAAUAACAAAAUGAAGGUACUUGAGGAAUCAGCAUCGGCUAACUCCGUGCCAGCCGCCGCAGUAAGAC
rnacentral:rRNA from 1 species